GACGAACGCUGGCGGCGUGCUUAACACAUGCAAGUCGAACGGAAAGGCCCUGCUUUUGUGGGGUGCUCGAGUGGCGAACGGGUGAGUAACACGUGAGUAACCUGCCCUUGACUUUGGGAUAACUUCAGGAAACUGGGGCUAAUACCGGAUAGGAGCUCCUGCUGCAUGGUGGGGGUUGGAUAGUUUCGGCGGUUGGGGAUUGACUCGCGGCUUAUCAGCUUGUUGGUGGGGUAGUGGCUUACCAAGGCUUUGACGGGUAGCCGGCCUGAGAGGGUGACCGGCCAAAAUGGGACUGAGAUACGGACCAGACUGCAACGGGAGGCAGGAGUGGGGAAUAGUGCAAAAUGGGAGGAAGCCUGAUGCAGCAACGCGGCGUGCGGGAUGAAGGCCUUCGGGUUGUAAACCGCUUUAGCAUGUGACGAAGAGUGAGUGACGGUAAUGGGUAAAGAAGCACCGGCUAACUACGUG
rnacentral:rRNA from 1 species